AGCCCGGCCCUGACCCUGCAGCUCUGGGAGAGGAGCCCCGGCCCUGGGAUUCCCAGGAGUUUCCACUUGGUGAUCAGCACUGAACACAGACCACCAACCAUGGAGUCUGUGCUGAGCUGGGUUUUCCUUGUUACAGUUUUGAAAGGUGUCCAGUGUGAGGUGCAGCUGGUGGAGUCUGGGGGAGGCUUGGUCCAGCCUGGGGGGUCCCUGAGACUCUCCUGUGCGGCCUCUGGAUUCACCUUCAGUGACUACUACAUGCACUGGGCCCGCCAGGCUCCGGGGAAGGGGCUGGAGUGGGUGGGUUUUAUUAGAAACAAAGCCAAUGGUGGGACAGCAGAAUACGCGGCGUCUGUGAAAGGCCGAUACACCAUCUCGAGAGAUGAUUCAAAGAACUCGCUGUAUCUGCAGAGGAGCAGCCUGAGAGCCGAGGACACGGCCGUGUAUUACUGUGCGAGUGACACAGUGAGGGGGGGCCCGUGUGAGCCCGGACACAAACCUCCUGCGGGGGCGCGCGGGGCCACCAGGGGGCGCGCGGGACCACUGAGGACGGGACAGGUCCCAGGAGCAGGUGCAGGGGGAGGUUUCCUUUCUCCUCAGCUGGAAAAGUCAGCUUUGUAUUUGCAGAAUUCUGGAGCAUUUUAGGCUGUGAUAUUUUAU